rnacentral:rRNA from 1 species
GUUUUAAUGAAUAUUAAUAUUAAAUUUGCCCUGCCCAAUGAUUAAUGUUUUAAUGGCCGCAGUAAAUUGACUGUGCAAAGGUAGCAUAAUAAUUUGUCUUUUAAUUGAGGACUGGAAUGAAUGGGUGGACGUAAAAAUUUCUGUCUCUAUUUUUAUAAAUUGAAUUUUACUUUUAAGUUAAAAGGCUAAUUGUGUAAUUAAAUAUUAUUAAGGGACGAAAAGACCCUAUCAAGUUUUAUAAUAUUUAAUAAUUGUUUUCAUUAUUAAUUUUUAUUAUUAUUUUUCUGGGGUGGAAUUAAUAUAAAUCUAUUAAAAAUUUUAUAAUUUAAUAAUUUAUUAUUGAUCUUUUUUAUUACUAAUUAAUAAAUUACUGUAGGGGUAACAGCAUAAUUAUUUUGGUAAGUUCAAAUUUAUAAAAUAGAUUAUGACCUCGAUGUUGGAUUAAAUUUACCUAUAAUUAAUGAAGAAGUUAUUAAGGUUAGUCUGUUCGACUAUUAAAAAUUUACA